AUGCAGAUUGUAACGAUAAGUCAGAUGAAGAUCCAGGCUUUUGUCGAGAUUAUAGCUGCAGUGAUUACAAUCACAAGUGUUCUGAUGGAUUGCAAUGUAUCGGUGAAUACAGUUUAUGUAACGGCUACGAAGAUUGUUCAGAUAAAUCAGAUGAAGAUCCGGACGUUUGUAGAGCAAGGGAAUGUGACAACGACAAAGUGAAAUGUAAUGAUGGCAUACAAUGCAUUUAUAAAUCA